rnacentral:rRNA from 1 species
AACGCUGGCGGCAUGCCUUACACAUGCAAGGUCGAACGGCAGCACGGGAGCAAUCCUGGUGGCGAGUGGCGAACGGGUGAGUAAUAUAUCGGAACGUGCCCAGUCGUGGGGGAUAACGUAGCGAAAGCUACGCUAAUACCGCAUACGAUCUAUGGAUGAAAGCGGGGAUCGCAAGACCUCGCGCGAUUGGAGCGGCCGAUAUCAGAUUAGGUAGUUGGUGAGGUAAAGGCUCACCAAGCCGACGAUCUGUAGCUGGUCUGAGAGGACGACCAGCCACACUGGGACUGAGACACGGCCCAGACUCCUACGGGAGGCAGCAGUGGGGAAUUUUGGACAAUGGGCGCAAGCCUGAUCCAGCAAUGCCGCGUGCAGGAUGAAGGCCUUCGGGUUGUAAACUGCUUUUGUACGGAACGAAACGGUGAGCUCUAAUACAGUUUGCUAAUGACGGUACCGUAAGAAUAAGCACCGGCUAACUACGUG